rnacentral:tRNA from 1 species
GGCGGUGUAGCUCAGCUGGCUAGAGCGUACGGUUCAUACCCGUAAGGUCGGGGGGGGUUCGAUCCCCUCCGCCGCUA